rnacentral:rRNA from 1 species
GAGUUUGAUCCUGGCUCAGAAUGAACGUUGGCGGCGUGGAUUAGGCAUGCGAGUCGCGCGAGAAUGUAGCAAUACAGGGAAGCGGCGAAAGGGAGAGGACAACAUAGGAAUCUGCCCUGGGGUCGAGGAUAGCGUCGGGAAACUGACGGUAAUACUCGAUGAUAUCUUUGGAUCAAAGGAGCAAUCUGCCCCGGGAUGAGCCUAUGCCCCAUUAGCUAGUUGGCGGUGUAAUGGACCACCAAGGCUGUGAUGGGUAGCUGGUGUGAGAGCACGACCAGCCUCACUGGCACUGAGACACUGGCCAGACACCUACGGGUGGCUGCAGUCGAGAAUCUUCGGCAAUGGACGAAAGUCUGACCGAGCGACGCCGCGUGUGGGAUGAAGGUCUUCGGAUUGUAAACCACUGUCGAGGGGGAUUAAGGGCAACUUGAAAGAACCCUGGAGGAAGGGGAGGCUAAGCUCGUGCCAGCAGCCGCGGUAAGACGAGCUCCCCAAACGUUAUUCGGUAUCACUGGGCUUAAAGAGUUCGUAGGCGGCGAAGUAGGUGAGGUGUGAAAGCCCUCGGCUCAACCGAGGAACUGCGCUUCAAACCGCUUUGCUAGAGGGAGAUAGGGGUAAGCGGAACAGAUGGU